GGCCCUGGGCGCCUGCGCCCCCAGCGGCGACUCUUCGAAUUGCAUGAUCCCUGGAGGUUGGCACAUGGAGGUGGGCAGAAUGGCUGGAGGUGGGCGGAGGCCGCUGGCGUUGCUGGGCGGGAUGACGACAAACACGCCAUUGCUGGCAGGAGGUGUGGACAUCGUGUUCGGAGAGCCUGGGGGACGAAGGCUCAGGAGAUAACAAGGCAGUGAUGGUGGUUACACAUUUGAUAAACGGCGCAGCUCCCUGCUCUUGCUUACUGAGGCCCGGAGAUAGAAGAGCCCAGAUUCCCGACUAGAGCUGGGGAGAGAGAAGAGACUCACAGAAGAGAAUUAGGCUCCUUACAUGGAAGGAACUUUUUAUUUUCAAUGCUGGGCAUGGAACCCAGCCUACAGGCGAGGCAAGCCAGCUGCUGCUGAGCCGUAUCUCCAGCCCAAGUGGAACCUUUGAGAGGAGCAUGUAUUUAAACAUCUUCCUUUCUCCAGAGAGGGUGAGUGAGUGCUCACGGACACACUGCUCUGGGAAGGGGAGCUUAGCUGAAGUACCGUUUUACUCACGGGGAGAGAAGGACCAGACUGGAUGUACCCCUCCCUUCCUUCCUCUAGACUGCAUCUGUUGACGGUGGGUACAUAAUUACCCCGGGGCAACACAUCCUGCUCCCUUUGACUACCCGAGGAAUAACCACUACUGUGGCCAAGAUAAACACGAACUGUGGAAACCUGAGGUGUGGGUGGCCUGGGAAAACACUCUGGGGUACGCUGAUGUUGGGCAGCAGCUUCCCAGGGUGCUGCAGUUACUAAUCUAGUGGAUUAUGUGACAUUAAAACAGUCACCCUCCUUGCUGGCUUUCACACAUGGUGAAGAACCCAGCAGUCCAAGUCACAGCUCUGUGACGAAGGCAGGAUUUGAACCCUGGUCCAUGUAGCUGCUAUGAGACAGGGCACGGCGGUCACUUCCUCCUGCCUCAGUUUCCUGACCCAAAGAGUCCUGGUAAGGGCAUCAGACCUGUUUCAUUAUAGGCCUGGUAAAGGCCGUGAUUUGCACAGGGAAUCAUUUCAACCUCUUCACUUGAAGUUUGUUGUCAAACCUUAUAUAUUCAGUGCAUGAAUAUGUAUUUACCCACUGCUUUGAGGACUGCGGUUUGUGUUCAUGAGACAUUGCCGCUCGUGGACUGCACAGCUUGUGGAUAAUCAGGCUGUGCUAUGCUCUAAGUAACUCCAUAUUGUGUAAAGGAGUGGCUUUGGGCUCUGCUCUGCCCUGGGUGACUCCGUUUGAAAGGCAGCGUUUGGAUGCUCUCAUUCAAACAAUGGGACAAGGUGACUCUGUCUCACUGUCCAUGUAGGUAACCGCCUCCUGCCCAGUGCCACCCACGAGGCACAAACAAUUUACUCCUGUGGAUGAAAAGUACCACCUGGACCCUCUAAAGAAGCCACCAGCCCUGCAGUGGUGACGGCCCCACUGACCUGGCAUCGGACCACCCAAUGUGUGUGCCACAGAACCAACAGGCAGAUUGUGGGCUUCAGCUCAGCUCUGUCGCCAGUGCUUGAUACAGCCUCCUGAAGCUACCGCCAGUCUGUCUCUUUGUCUGCAGCAGCCCUGCACUUCUGCAUGUGUCUCUGCAGCACCCCCAGCCCUUAAUAUCGUAUCUAACCAAUGCAGCGAACUUUUGUGUCUCUAAUAGCUUGCUGCCUCUGGUAAGACUUUCUUAAACUGUGCUGUGGCCUCUCUGUCCUUUUGUAUACUCUGUAACCUGUAAAUCGCACACACACACACUCACACACACACACACUGAGGUGUAUAAUGUGUGACUUGAGAGUUAACACUAAUUCUUAGUAUCAGAAUAAAAGCACCUGAGUUUUUCAAGAGCUAGCUAUGGCAAAUUGCAGCAAAUGAAACUGACUGUAAAUUUAUUGUUAGUCAAUAAAUUCUAGUACUGUGAGAAA